rnacentral:lncRNA from 1 species
ACAAUCAUUACAUGAUAUCUUGUCUUCCAAGACAUAACAUUCUACUUUACAACAAAUCAAAGAUAAGUUAUCUAAUACAACAUGUUUUGACCGUGUGAAGCUCGUUUGGUAGCUCAACAGCCAUAUAAACAACUUUAUGUUGCUGCCAAGGAUGAUUCUGUUGUUAUUAUUGUGUUGGACAGUUUUGAUCAUUCAAAGAAUGGAACGGAAAAACAUAAUUUCCUCAGGUUGUCUCGCACCAUCACUAAAGCAAGAUAAUUAUUGCAAAUAUUGAAUCAUGUUUACAGUUGGUAAAAUCAAAGUAAUUAGUUCAUGCCACGAGUUAAUUUCAACGAAAAGUAAUAUUGUAUACCUAACAAAAUUCCAGAAAGCAUAUUUGCCAUGUAAUUACACAUAAAUAGCAACAUGAUGUCAAUAGAAAAUAUAAACUAAAGGUUUUUUCUCCAGAACUAAAAACACUAUGUACUCCGAAAUUCUGUGUAGAACAAACAAUAUUCUCACCAUCAGUCACUAUUACCACUAAAAUAGACUCAAGACACCAUACGGAAAAUAAAUCAGACAUAUAUAUUCUAUGCAUUUGCAAAUGACUCGUCACCAUUUCAAAGCACCCAACUUUUAUUCAUACGUGUGAAGUGAUUUUCGUUAAAAUAGGGAUAAUCUUCAGGUGUUCCUACUGUCCAAGUUCCAUCUUGUCUCCAUUUUCAUGAAAUAAAUCUAAAUAAGAAAAAUCGCUAAAAGAUUGCAUGUACUUCCUAGCUUGAAUAGAUCACAAAAAAGCUUGUUAUAAUGUGCAUUUCAAGUACAGCAAUUUAAAGAGGUUUCAUGAGUGGCGCUUUCGUGGGGGAGUACAAGCAACUAUUAAGAUUAUGAGUUUGUGGCAAUAAUUUUUACCAACAAUUCCAUUAAAUGUACACAAAACGUGUGACCGUAAACCAAAUCCAUCGCUAGAGCAAUUUAUAAACUUCAAAUCUUGAAUCAUUCUUUGUCAUACCUACUUUAAACUAACCAAAAAUAGGAGAGGGGAAAUCAAAUAGACGCGAUAGUACUGGUGAAGGCAUUUUCUUUCCAUUCUUAAGAUGGAAACUUUUAACCAAACCUAUACUAAUUCUAAUCAGAAAAAUAAUAUGAUAUUUUGAACAGAAAAUGCUCCGAUAAAAUCUUAACAGAGCUAAGUCAAAAAGUCAUGUAGCUACGGAAAAAAAAUUCAUAUCUACAACUGAUAAACUCAUCAAUAUAUCAUCAUCAGUUUACAGUCGAGGAUUAAAACUCAUACUAUCCAGCACAAGCAAUAUCGACCUGUCGUCACACAAAUACACAUAUUACUCUAAAGGUUGCUUCUUUAAAUCAAAACUUUUUACAUGUUCUACCUCCUAUCAGACAGGAUUUAAGGAAUGGUGUCUAAUGAUCUACUCUUCAUUUUUCUGAGCUUAAUUUUCAUCAGCCCUGUUGCAAGCAAGCCAAAUUAUUUUUCGUGUGCAGUUAAAUAUUUCAAUUUAGAACAAACUACUUUGGUGUAGGCUUCCAAACAAAAGCUUAAAUAACUCAUUUUUGGCAAACUUAAAUGUAGGGCAUAAGAAGGCGAAAAAGGUAACCAAAAUAAUAGGCAGCUGAGCAAAAUGUUAUUACUAACCUUUGAGAAUUUGGUUUGUAGAGCCUUCACCUAUUCUCGUUGAUUUCUUCUUAAUAAGAUUGACUGCUAAAAUAUUGACGCAUUAGUGACCGCACAAAUUUUGUUCACGGAACCCUUCUGUAUUUCAAUUGUGUACGUUUCUGUCUCACAUCUAGUCAAACCAACAUAUCAAGACAACAGUAAAUGAUUCCAACAGAAACACAGGUGGGAUCAAAUCACAUACAUUUGAAACAUAUUUUUUCACAAAAAAUAAACAAUAAAGAUUGGGCUUGUCUUGUAAUAACAUACCUUUUGAGUUGCUGACUGAUAUGGGACAGAAUAUUUAGGUAAAUC